AUUGAACGCUGGCGGCAGGCCUAACACAUGCAAGUCGAACGAGUGGCGGACGGGUGAGUAAGGUCUGGGAAACUGCCGGUUGGAGGGGGAUAACUACUGGAAACGUUAGCUACUACCGCAUACCAUCGGAUGUGCCAGGAGGGGAUUAGCUAGUAGGUGGGGUAAAGGCUCACCUAGGCGACGAUCCCUAGCUGGUCUGAGAGGAUGACCAGCCACACUGGAACUGAGACACGGUCCAGACUCCUACGGGAGGCAGCAGUGGGGAAUAUUGCACAAUGGGCGCAAGCCUGAUGCAGCCAUGCCGCGUGUAUGAAGAAGGCCUUCGGGUUGUAAAGUACUUUCAGCGGGGAGGCGUUACCCGCAGAAGAAGCACCGGCUAACUCCGUGCCAGCAGCCGCGGUAAUUC
rnacentral:rRNA from 1 species